rnacentral:rRNA from 1 species
UACGGGGGGGCAAGCGUUGUUCGGAAUCACUGGGCGUAAAGGGUGCGUAGGCGGGUCUUUAAGUCAGGGGUGAAAUCCUGGAGCUCAACUCCAGAACUGCCUUUGAUACUGAAGAUCUUGAGUUCGGGAGAGGUGAGUGGAACUGCGAGUGUAGAGGUGAAAUUCGUAGAUAUUCGCAAGAACACCAGUGGCGAAGGCGGCUCACUGGCCCGAUACUGACGCUGAGGCACGAAAGCGUGGGGAGCAAACAGGG